ACUAUUUUGGCAGAUUAGUGUGAUAAAUUUAGAAUUUAUUUAUGUAAUUAUUAUUACAAAUAGUA
rnacentral:tRNA from 1 species